rnacentral:rRNA from 1 species
UACGUAGGGUGCGAGCGUUGUCCGGAAUUAUUGGGCGUAAAGAGCUCGUAGGCGGUUUGUCGCGUCGACUGUGAAAACCUACAGCUUAACUGUGGGCUUGCAGUCGAUACGGGCAGACUUGAGUUCGGUAGGGGAGGCUGGAAUUCCUGGUGUAGCGGUGAAAUGCGCAGAUAUCAGGAGGAACACCGGUGGCGAAGGCGGGUCUCUGGGCCGAUACUGACGCUGAGGAGCGAAAGCGUGGGGAGCGAACAGG